rnacentral:rRNA from 1 species
UGGGGAAUUUUGGACAAUGGGCGCAAGCCUGAUCCAGCCAUGCCGCGUGAGUGAUGAAGGCCCUAGGGUUGUAAAGCUCUUUCCCCGGCGAAGAUAAUGACGGUAACCGGAGAAGAAGCCCCGGCUAACUUCGUGCCAGCAGCCGCGGUAAUACGAAGGGGGCUAGCGUUGUUCGGAUUUACUGGGCGUAAAGCGCACGUAGGCGGACUAUUAAGUCAGGGGGGAAAACCCGGGGCUAAACCCCGGAACUGCCUUUGAUACUGGUAGUCUUGAGUUCGAGAGAGGUGAGUGGAAUUCCGAGUGUAGAGGUGAAAGUCGAAGAUAUUCGGAGGAACACCAGUGGCGAGGGCGGCUCACUGGCUCGAUACUGACGCUGAGGUGCGAAAGCGUGGGGAGCAAACAGG